rnacentral:ncRNA from 2 species
CUCUUAUCGAGAGAGGUGGAGGGACUGGCCCAAUGAAACCCGGCAACCGUUAAAAGUGGUGCUAAAUCCUGCAAAGCAUAAGCUUUGAAAGAUGAGAU